GCUUAACACAUGCAAGUCGAACGGAAACGAUACUAGCUUGCUAGUAGGCGUCGAGUGGCGGACGGGUGAGUAACGCGUAGGAAUCUGCCUGAUAGUGGGGGAUAGCCCGGAGAAAUUCGGAUUAAUACCGCAUAAUCUAUUCGUAGUAAAGUGGGGGACUUUCGAGCCUCACGCUAUCAGAUGAGCCUGCGUAAGAUUAGCUUGUUGGUAGGGUAAAAGCCUACCAAGGCGACGAUCUUUAGCUGGUCUGAGAGGAUGAUCAGCCACAUCGGGACUGAGACACGGCCCGAACUCCUACGGGAGGCAGCAGUGGGGAAUAUUGGACAAUGGGGGCAACCCUGAUCCAGCAAUACCGCGUGUGUGAAGAAGGCCUGAGGGUUGUAAAGCACUUUCAAUUGUGAAGAAAAGUUAACGGUUAAUAACCGUUAGCCUUGACGUUAACUUUAGAAGAAGCACCGGCUAACUCCGUGCCAGCAGCCGCGGUAAUACGGAGGGUGCAAGCGUUAAUCGGAAUUACUGGGCGUAAAGCGUGCGUAGGUGGUUUAUUAAGUCAGAUGUGAAAGCCCCGGGCUUAACCUGGGAACUGCAUUUGAAACUGGUAAACUAGAGUAUGGUAGAGGAAAGUGGAAUUUCUGGUGUAGCGGUGAAAUGCGUAGAUAUCAGAAGGAACAUCAAUGGCGAAGGCAGCUUUCUGGACCAAUACUGACACUGAGGUACGAAAGCGUGGGUAGCAAACAGGAUUAGAUACCCUGGUAGUCCACGCCGUAAACGAUGAUAACUAGCCGUUGGGGGGAUUUACCCUUUAGUGGCGAAGCUAACGCGUUAAGUUAUCCGCCUGGGGAGUACGGCC
rnacentral:rRNA from 1 species